rnacentral:rRNA from 1 species
AGAGGGUGCAAGCGUUGUUCGGAAUCAUUGGGCGUAAAGGGCGUGUAGGCGGUUUGUUAAGUCAUGUGUGAAAUCCCUCGGCUCAACCGGGGAACGACGCAUGAAACUGACAAGCUAGAGUACCAAAGAGGGGGGUGGAAUUCCUGGUGUAGCGGUGGAAUGCGUAGAUAUCGGGAGGAACACCUGUGGCGAAGGCGACCCCCUGGUUGGAUACUGACGCUGAGACGCGAAAGCGUGGGGAGCAAACAGGAUUAGAUACCCGGGUAGUCCACGCUGUAAACGAUGGGCACUAGGUGUCCGAGGUAUUGACCCCUUGGGUGCCGCAGCUAACGCAUUAAGUGCCCCGCCUGGGGAGUACGGUCGCAAGAUUA